GAUGAAGAACGUAGCGAAAUGCGAUACUUGGUGUGAAUUGCAGAAUCCCGUGAACCAUCGAGUCUUUGAACGCAAGUUGCGCCCGAAGCCAUUUGGUUGAGGGCACGUCUGCCUGGGCGUCACAUAUCGUUGCCCGAUGCCUAUUGCACUGUGAUAGGAAAUUCUAGGGCGAAAGAUGGCUUCCCGUGAGCGUUGUUGCCUCGCGGUUGGUUGAAAAUUGAGUCCUUGGUAGGGUGUGCCAUGAUAGAUGGUGGUCGAGUUUGCACGAGACCUCAGGUCAGGCGGGGCUUCCCGCUGAGUUUAAGCAUAUCAAUAAGCGGAGGA
rnacentral:misc_RNA from 1 species